GAAGGAAAACAUUAAAAUGUCUGACAUGAGGGGGGGGGGGAAAGGAAAACAUUAAAAUGUCUGACAUGAGGGGGGAGAAAAAGGAAAAUGCAUCUCAAAUGGUACACUUCCUUAAAUACAUUACCAGCCAAAACUUGUAGAACACCUACUCAUUCAAGGGUUUUUCUUUAUUUUUUUACUAUUUUCUACAUUGUAGAAUAAUAUUGAAGACAUCAAAUCUAUGUAAUAACACAUAUGGAAUCAUGUAGUAACCAAAAAAGUGUUAAACAAAUAAAAAUACAUAAUACAGAUUCUUCAAAUAGCCACCCUUUGCCUUGAUGACAGCUUUGUACACUCUUGGCAUUCUCUCAACCAGCUUCAUGAUAUAGUCACCUGGAAUGCAUUUAAAUGUGACAAGGUAGGGGUGGUAUACAGACGAUAGCCCUAUUUGGUAAAAUACCAAGUCCAUUUUAUGGCAAGAACAGCUCAAAUAAGUAAAGAGAAAUGACAGUCCAUCAUUACUUUAAGACAUGAAGGUCAGUCAAUAUGGAACAUUUCAAGAACUUUGACAGUUUAUUCAAGUGCAGUUGCAAAAACCAUCAAGCGCUAUGAUGAAACUGGCUAUACAGUUGAAAUUUGUCCUUUGGUCUGGAGUCCAAAUUGGAGAUUUUUGGUUCCAACCACCAUGUCUUUGUGAGACGCGGUGUGGGGGAACGGAUGAUCUCCGCAUGUGUAUUUCCCACCGUGAAGCAUGGAGGAGGAGGUGUGAUGGUGCUUUGCUGGUGACACUGUCAGUGAUUUAUUUAGAAUUCAAGGCACACUUAACCAGCAUGACUACCACAGCAUUCUGCAGCGAUGUGCCAUCCCAUCUGGUUUGGGCUUUGUGGGACUAUCACUUGUUUUUCAACAGAACAACGACCCAACACACCUCCAGGCUAUGCAAGGGCUAUUUGACCAAGAUGGAGAGUGAUGGAGUGCAGCAUCAGAUGACCUGGCCUCCACAAUCCCCCGACCUCAACCAAAUUGAGAUGGUUUGGCAUGUUGGACCGCAGAGUGAAGGAAAAGCAGCCAACAAGUGCUCAGCAUAUGUGGGAACUCCUUCAAGACAGUUGGAAAAGCAUUCCAGGUGAAGCUGGUUGAGAGAAUGCCAAGAGUGUGCAAAGCUGUCAUCAAGGCAAAGGGUAGUUAUUUGAAGAUUCUCAAAAACAAAAUAUAUUUUGAUUUGUUUAACACUUUUUUGGUUACUCCAUGAGUUACUACAUGAGUAAUUUCAUAGUUUUGAUGUCUUAACUAUUAUUCUACAAUAUUGUAGAAAAUAAAAAUAAAGAAAAACACUUGAAUGAGUAGGUGUUCUAAAACUUUUGGCCACGGUAGUGUAUUGGUACGGUGGCGUACGGGCCGCGGCGGUGUACGGGCCACGGUGUUCUAUGGGCCACGGCGGCGUACGGGCCACGGCGGCGUACGGGCCACGGCAGCGUACGGGCCACGGCAGCGUACGGGCCACGGCACCAUACGGGCCAUAGGUUGUAACGGUUCUCUUGUGGUGAAGGACAGUCGGACCAAAAUGCAGCGUGAUGAUGAUUCAUGAUAUUUUAAUAAAGGAAAAAAAUAUACAUGAAGAAACUACAAAAUAAUGAAAUGUGAAAACCGAAACAGUCCUAUCUGGUGUAAACACAGAGACAGGAACAAUCAGCCACAAACAGCCCUAUCUGGUGUAAACACAGAGACAGGAACAAUCACCCACAAACAGCCCUAUCUGGUGUAAACACAGAGACAGGAACAAUCACCCACAAACAGUCCUAUCUGGUGCAAACACAGAGACAGGAACAAUCACCCACAAACAGUCCUAUCUGGUGCAAACACAGAGACAGGAACAAUCACCCACAAACAGCC
ensembl:lncRNA